rnacentral:rRNA from 1 species
CCUGGCUCAGAUUGAACGCUGGCGGCAGGCCUAACACAUGCAAGUCGAACGGUAACAGGAAGAAGCUUGCUUCUUUGCUGACGAGUGGCGGACGGGUGAGUAAUGUCUGGGAAACUGCCUGAUGGAGGGGGAUAACUACUGGAAACGGUAGCUAAUACCGCAUAACGUCGCAAGACCAAAGAGGGGGACCUUCGGGCCUCUUGCCAUCGGAUGUGCCCAGAUGGGAUUAGCUAGUAGGUGGGGUAACGGCUCACCUAGGCGACGAUCCCUAGCUGGUCUGAGAGGAUGACCAGCCACACUGGAACUGAGACACGGUCCAGACUCCUACGGGAGGCAGCAGUGGGGAAUAUUGCACAAUGGGCGCAAGCCUGAUGCAGCCAUGCCGCGUGUAUGAAGAAGGCCUUCGGGUUGUAAAGUACUUUCAGCGGGGAGGAAGGGAGUAAAGUUAAUACCUUUGCUCAUUGACGUUACCCGCAGAAGAAGCACCGGCUAACUCCGUGCCAGCAGCCGCGGUAAUACGGAGGGUGCAAGCGUUAAUCGGAAUUACUGGGCGUAAAGCGCACGCAGGCGGUUUGUUAAGUCAGAUGUGAAAUCCCCGGGCUCAACCUGGGAACUGCAUCUGAUACUGGCAAGCUUGAGUCUCGUAGAGGGGGGUAGAAUUCCAGGUGUAGCGGUGAAAUGCGUAGAGAUCUGGAGGAAUACCGGUGGCGAAGGCGGC